rnacentral:rRNA from 1 species
UACGUAGGGUGCAAGCGUUGUCCGGAAUUAUUGGGCGUAAAGGGCUCGUAGGCGGUUUGUCGCGUCGGCUGUGAAAACCCGGGGCUCAACCCCGGGCCUGCAUUCGAUACGGGCAGACUGGAGGUAUGCAGGGGAGAACGGAAUUCCUGGUGUAGCGGUGAAAUGCGUAGAUAUGCGGAGGAACACCGAUGGCGAAGGCAAUCCCCUGGGCCUGCACUGACGCUCAUGCACGAAAGCGUGGGGAGCAAACAGG